rnacentral:sRNA from 1 species
UUUCCCUGCGGAGUUGCUCAGGUCCGCCGCAUCUCCUGGGUCCGUAGGGUUUUAGGUCGUUUUGUUGGUCACUUACUUGGCCUCCUCCAAAUAAGAGACUAACAACCGACCAACGA